rfam:Candidatus Firestonebacteria bacterium RIFOXYC2_FTLL_39_67 rifoxyc2_full_scaffold_675, whole genome shotgun sequence.
CUUGGUGAACCGUGAGGUUUGCUCAACGCGAUACAGAAGUCAGCAGAGAGCAUAGUAUUCGCUGGAAAGCGGAGAAGGCU